rnacentral:rRNA from 2 species
CACACGACUCUCGGCAACGGAUAUCUCGGCUCUCGCAUCGAUGAAGAACGUAGCAAAAUGCGAUGCCUGGUGUGAAUUGCAGAAUCCCGUGAACCGUCAAGUUUUUGAACGCAAGUUGCGCCCAAGGCCUUCUGGUUGAGGGCACGUCUGCCUGGGCGUCACAC